rnacentral:rRNA from 1 species
CCGNCGNNNAGAAGNAUGCAUGUCUAGUACAUGCCGUAUUAAGGCGAAACCGCGAAUGGCUCAUUAAAUCAGUUAUGGUUCCUUGGAUCGUACCUUACUACUUGGAUAACUGUGGUAAUUCUAGAGCUAAUACAUGCAGCAGAGCUCCGACCUUCGGGGACGAGCGCUUUUAUUAGACCAAAACCAAUCGGACUCUGUCCGUCUCUUGUGGUGACUCUGAAUAACUUUGGGCUGAUCGCACGGGCCCGUCCCGGCGACGUAUCUUUCAAGUGUCUGCCUUAUCAACUUUCGAUGGUAGGUUACGCGCCUACCAUGGUCGUAACGGGUAACGGGGAAUCAGGGUUCGAUUCCGGAGAGGGAGCCUGAGAAACGGCUACCACAUCCAAGGAAGGCAGCAGGCGCGCAAAUUACCCACUCCCAGAACGGGGAGGUAGUGACGAAAAAUAACAAUACGGGACUCUUUUGAGACCCCGUAAUUGGAAUGAGUACACUCUAAAUCCUUUAACGAGGAUCCAUUGGAGGGCAAGUCUGGUGCCAGCCGCCGCGGUAACUCCAGCUCCAAUAGCGUAUAUUAAAGUUGUUGCGGUUAAAAAGCUCGUAGUUGGAUCUCAGUUCCAGACGGGUGGUCCGCCUACCGGUGGUUACUGCCUGUUCUGAACAGCCAGCCGGUUUCUCUUGAUGAUCUUCACCGGUUGUCUUGGGUGACCGGCAAGUUUACUUUGAAAAAAUUAGAGUGCUCAAAGCAGGCGCGACGCCUGAAUAAUGGUGCAUGGAAUAAUGGAAUAGGACCUCGGUUCUAUUUUGUUGGUUUUCGGAACACGAGGUAAUGAUUAAGAGGGACAGACGGGGGCAUUCGUAUUGCGACGCUAGAGGUGAAAUUCUUGGACCGUCGCAGGACGAACUACUGCANANUUUUUUUUUNNCGNANAAA